GCGAAAUGAAACGCACUACCUAACUUGUCUGACUGAGUGCCGCUAGUUAUGUAAUUACUAACUAAGCACGUAACUGAUUAACUAGCUACGUAACUAAAUAGCUAACAAACGAACGAGAGAACAAACGAUCUGGCAAAUGAACUAAUAACUAAAUAACCAGGUAACCAAUCCAUUAACUAACUCACCAACCAAAUAACUAAACUAACAAGCUAAACUAAACCAUACAUUAUGACAUAACACUAAGACAACAUCAACAACAGCACCACAACAACAAACCACCACCACAACAACAACAACAGCAACGCCCGUAAUUCAAGUAGCGACACCUGGCAACUAGAAGCGAACCCUCUCUCUCGAUCGAAGCUUUGGAUCUGUGAAUGAACGAACCAAUGAAUGAAUAAAGGAGUGAAUGGCUUCCGCUCUGCUGGCUUCUAUUCACAUCACGGGACAGGUGAGCGUGUGGGCCGUCUACCUGUUCCUGACUAUUAUUGGUGUGAGUUUCCGGAUCCCUUAUAGCCAUUACAGGUAACAAGAUGGACGUUCGGAUCCCCUACCUGUUAUCACUAAUCCUUUGUUAGUGCUACCUUUCGAUUCCAGGCGGCGGCGUGGUGGGCGGUGGUGGCCGUGGCGGCGGCGGCGACCCUAGCAGAGGAACAGAGUGGCGGAGAGUCCAGCCCGUGGCUGCCCGCCGCCCACACCCCUUCGUGGCCGUGGUGGGCGGCGCUGGGUGGGAACGCCAAUGCCUGGUAUCCUGCAGAGAACGGCGAGGGUGAGGAAGAGGAGGCGUCGGCUGGCCCGUGGCUGGCCAAGCGGCAGCCGCCCCACCGCCUGGGCUCUGUGGUGGACCUGUACCGCACGAUGGCCCUCGGCCUGGACCCCUUCACCGCCAAGCCCGUCAUGGCCACCCCCGAGCGACGCUCCGGCCGCUGGCCCGCCGCGUGCAAGUUCAACCCGUUCAGUUUUGUGUGUUGGAACGCGGCUCGGAGGGGCGGUGUGAUGCGUCAGCGGCCCCUCCAGUACGCCCAGUAACGCCCCCGCCCCCCACCACGGCCUGACUGUGCCGACCUGCCAGGCCUGCUGAAGCUGUCUGCAGCACCCUGCCGGGGAGGAGGCCCCUUGUGCCACGCCCGCCGCCCAUCGGUGGCUCAGAGUGGCAAUGACCCUCAGCGCCACAUUCCCGACCACAACGUCGCCCCACGAGUCCUUCCCUCCCCCUACUGCGCAGCACCUGUCCCUCGCUGUCCCUCCUUCCAUCCAGCAGCAUUCUUUCUUACCCACACCCCUCUCCGCCCUGCCCCACCCCCACCCAAGAUGACCACCCCUGUCCCUCACCCACCCUCCAACCACUGAUGACCACCCCGGCACCGACCCCAGCAGUGCUUCCCGCUAUGUACGUUUUGUAUCCGUACAUGUGUCUGUUCAUCUCACUCAUGUGCGCCGCGGCAACUUUAGAAAAAAAAUAAAUCUUAACAUUU